UCUGCUUGGAUUGUCCAUAAAUAAGAUCAAGGUAGAGAAGCUUAGCACCCCUAACUCUCAAAAAUCAAAAUGAAGGCCUUUCUAAUUGUCUGCCUUCUCUUGGUUUCCACUUUUUUCAUUCCUUCUUCAAGUGUUACCUUUAGGGUUCCAAUACCGAAAUUAAAACCAAAACCUGGUGGCAGGGUCUGUAAUCCAUUUAAACAAAAUUGUCGGAGGCCAAGAGUUCCAAAUCUGCCACCUCUGCUUUCAGUGUCACCUCCGCCCUUCUAUAGACGGCCAAAUCCACCAAUAUUCCAUAAGCCGCCACCACCUCCAACCCCUUGAGAUAUGAUGCACCAUGCUUAGUUCAUCAAUAAACAAGGAUAAAGUUGCUUAUUCUCGUGGAGAGUAGUAAUUAAGAAUUAAUAAAGUGUGUUUUUUUUGUGAUAUAUAGUUUCGGGUUCGUGAUGGACUCUAUCAUAGUUUGAUGUAAUUUUUGCAAAAUAAGAGAGCUGUAGGCUCGGAGUUUGUGUGAUAUAUUAUGGAGUUUUUCAUGCACUCCAUAAUAAUUUGAUGUAAUAUUGUUCGCGAAAUUAAAGAGCUGUUGGCUUGUUUGAGAGACUUC